GAAACGCGUAAUCUAGAUCUAAUUGCCAGAAAACAGCAAACGCAAAUUGAAGGGUAGACACUCUACUGAAUACCUGGCCUCUGAUCUUCAAAAGGGUCAGAGUCUGAUGAACACACUUUGGAACCGGACAGAGGUGGAGGUGGCACGGCCUUACGUCCGGACUCCAUGCCACUGAACGGCACGCACCAAAGUGGUGGAUUUUAUGGGGUCAAAUUCAUGAAAGGCGAAGAAGGACCGGGCAGCACUGCAGAUUGGAGCAGACUCCAGAGACGUGACAAGCGACACAAUGAGACAGAGGAGGGUCUCAGCGGGACAACCGGACAAGUCUGAAUAAAGCAGGGACCCAUCUUUGGAAGACGGAAGCCGCUAUAGGCUCACUUCCCAGGCGCACAGCUUCAGGGCUGCAGACAAAAGCUGGGGCCGCCCUGGUGCAGACGGUCCUCUCUCCCCAUCUCUCCCCAGCCGUGUGUGAAGCCGGUUUCUUCCCGUGUGGACGCCAGGCCCGGAACCAAUCACUUUACUGCAAAGACAGCCACAUCCCUAGUCACUGAACUCCAGGCAAAAUGCCUUCCAUUUCAAUGGAAGUGAUCUAAGAAAGCCUCGGGGAUCUUGGGGUAUUCCCAUCUUCCGAGGGCCUGAAGAGCUGGGGAGCAUUCCUUCUUUCAGCCAAAGGGCUCCGUAAAAGCCCGGAGGUGGAAUCACGCAGGAGGCCGAGAGCAACCUUUUUCCUCUGGGAAGGAUAUGCAUAGUAUGCGCGGGUUUAAACGAUGAAUUUCUAUUUUUAGGGCUUACCAAAAAAAGAAAUCAAUACAUUUUCAAAACUCUCUACUGCAUUCCUCAGAAAUUCCACGGGAAAAAGAACCAAACUGGGUCACUUAAAAAAAAAACAACAAAAAACCCCACAAAACCUUGGAGUGUUUGGAGGGCAUCCAAAUACUUAAAAAAUAUUCCCCGGCAGGACCAGAGGGCAGCGCUGCCUCCCAAGGGAUGGAUCCCUGACGGGUGGGAGCGGGCCAGAGCCUGUGACAACUGUUCUAAAGUCACUGUACGGUCACUGUGGCCUUCACAUACCUCAGUGAACUGUUGAAAAGGAAAACAAAAAUCAAAAAACCUAUGGGAAACACACAGUAUUAAAAAAAAUAAACCAACACUUCGGGGGCGCCUGGGUGGUUCAGUCGGUUAAGUGUCUGCCUUCAGCUCAGGUCCGGA